rnacentral:rRNA from 1 species
GAUGAACGCUGGCGGCGUGCCUAAUACAUGCAAGUCGAACGCUUUGUGGUUCAACUGAUUUGAAGAGCUUGCUCAGAUAUGACGAUGGACAUUGCAAAGAGUGGCGAACGGGUGAGUAACACGUGGGAAACCUACCUCUUAGCAGGGGAUAACAUUUGGAAACAGAUGCUAAUACCGUAUAACAAUGACAACCGCAUGGUUGUUAUUUAAAAGAUGGUUCUGCUAUCACUAAGAGAUGGUCCCGCGGUGCAUUAGCUAGUUGGUAAGGUAAUGGCUUACCAAGGCGAUGAUGCAUAGCCGAGUUGAGAGACUGAUCGGCCACAAUGGGACUGAGACACGGCCCAUACUCCUACGGGAGGCAGCAGUAGGGAAUCUUCCACAAUGGGCGAAAGCCUGAUGGAGCAACGCCGCGUGUGUGAUGAAGGGUUUCGGCUCGUAAAACACUGUUGUAAGAGAAGAAUGACAUUGAGAGUAACUGUUCAAUGUGUGACGGUAUCUUACCAGAAAGGAACGGCUAAAUACGUGCCAGCAGCCGCGGUAAUACGUAUGUUCCAAGCGUUAUCCGGAUUUAUUGGGCGUAAAGCGAGCGCAGACGGUUAUUUAAGUCUGAAGUGAAAGCCCUCAGCUCAACUGAGGAAUUGCUUUGGAAACUGGAUGACUUGAGUGCAGUAGAGGAAAGUGGAACUCCAUGUGUAGCGGUGAAAUGCGUAGAUAUAUGGAAGAACACCAGUGGCGAAGGCGGCUUUCUGGACUGUAACUGACGUUGAGGCUCGAAAGUGCGGGUAGCAAACAGGAUUAGAUACCCUGGUAGUCCACACCGUAAACGAUGAGUGCUAGGUGUUUGAGGGUUUCCGCCCUUAAGUGCCGCAGCUAACGCAUUAAGCACUCCGCCUGGGGAGUACGACCGCAAGGUUGAAACUCAAAGGAAUUGACGGGGACCCGCACAAGCGGUGGAGCAUGUGGUUUAAUUCGAAGCAACGCGAAGAACCUUACCAGGUCUUGACAUCCCUUGACAACUCCAGAGAUGGAGCGUUCCCUUCGGGGACAAGGUGACAGGUGGUGCAUGGUUGUCGUCAGCUCGUGUCGUGAGAUGUUGGGUUAAGUCCCGCAACGAGCGCAACCCUUAUUACUAGUUGCCAGCAUUUAGUUGGGCACUCUAGUGAGACUGCCGGUGACAAACCGGAGGAAGGUGGGGAUGACGUCAAAUCAUCAUGCCCCUUAUGACCUGGGCUACACACGUGCUACAAUGGCGUAUACAACGAGUUGCCAACCCGCGAGGGUGAGCUAAUCUCUUAAAGUACGUCUCAGUUCGGAUUGUAGGCUGCAACUCGCCUACAUGAAGUCGGAAUCGCUAGUAAUCGCGGAUCAGCACGCCGCGGUGAAUACGUUCCCGGGUCUUGUACACACCGCCCGUCACACCAUGAGAGUUUGUAACACCCAAAGCCGGUGGGGUAACCUUCGGGAGCCAGCCGUCUAAGGUGGGACAGAUGAUUAGGGUG